GGUACGGGGGGCAAGCGUUGUUCGGAAUUACUGGGCGUAAAGGGCUCGUAGGUGGCCAACUAAGUCAGACGUGAAAUCCCUCGGCUUAACCGGGGAACUGCGUCUGAUACUGGAUGGCUUGAGUUUGGGAGAGGGACGCGGAAUUCCAGGUGUAGCGGUGAAAUGCGUAGAUAUCUGGAGGAACACCGGUGGCGAAGGCGGCGUCCUGGACCAACACUGACACUGAUGAGCGAAAGCCAGGGGAGCAAACGGG
rnacentral:rRNA from 1 species